UUGUAGCCCCGAUAGUAGUGGAAAUCCUUUUUUUUGUUUGAGUUCUCGCUUUUUUUGCGAGGAACUUAAGCAAAAAAAAGAUUGAAACGGAUAGCGGGAGGUUUG
rnacentral:sRNA from 26 species